rnacentral:rRNA from 1 species
GACGAACGCUGGCGGCGUGCUUAACACAUGCAAGCCGAACGGAAAGGCCCUGCUUUUGUGGGGUGCUCGAGUGGCGAACGGGUGAGUAACACGUGAGUAACCUGCCCUUGACUUUGGGAUAACUUCAGGAAACUGGGGCUAAUACCGGAUAGGAGCUCCUGCUGCAUGGUGGGGGUUGGAAAGUUUCGGCGGUUGGGGAUGGACUCGCGGCUUAUCAGCUUGUUGGUGGGGUAGUGGCUUACCAAGGCUUUGACGGGUAGCCGGCCUGGGAGGGUGACCGGGCACAUGGGGACUGAGAUACGGCCCAGACGCCAACGGGAGGCAGCAGUGGGGAAUAUGGCACAAUGGGCGGAAGCCUGAUGCAGCAACGCCGCGUGCGGGAUGACGGCCUUCGGGGAGUAAACCGCUUUCGCCUGUGACGAAGCGUGAGUGACGGUAAUGGGUAAAGAAGCACCGGCUAACUACGUG